GCUCCAGGCAGUUGCUGUCACCCUCACAUUCCUGUUCCUGUUUUCUACAAAGGGACUGUCAGCCUGAGCAUGCCUGCCCUUGACCGUGACCCUGCUGUGUCUUAGGCCAGGAGUGUUGCCUGAGACAUCUGUUUAAUAAGCCUUUCCAUCCUCAGCUGCUUCCCAUCACCACGGCGACUACUACUCAGGAGCCGGCCAGGGCAGCAGGAGGAGCCAGGGCCAUCAACCAGGCCAUGGACAGAAUUGGGCUUCUGGGAAGCAGACAACAGCAGAAGCUUCUGAAAGUCCUCCAGGCCGUCGAAAGUGACUCUGCCCAUCUCG
rnacentral:sRNA from 1 species